GCUGGGCAUAGUGGUGCAUGCCUGUAUUCCCAGUGGCUUGGAGGCUGAGGCAGGAGGAUCAUGAGGAGUUCAAAGCCUGGGUUCAGACCCUGUCUCUA
rnacentral:sRNA from 1 species